UGGAAAUGGAUUUUGGUGUGAUAUCAGUUGGUAGUACUGUCCCUGGCAAACAGACGCAUAACUGUGCAUUGUUCUUUGGGAUUUUGAGAGCCUUCAUCUCAAUUUCAACUUUAAAGCAGCUUAAUCUUUAAGGAACAUAUCUCUGAUCUGGGUAAUUUGUAGAACUUAAUUUGAGGGUCAUUACAUGUGAGGAUAGCAGGAGUUGAAGAUGCCAAGGACCUGAAGGGCUACUGGAGGGACAGGUGAAGUGAUUUGAAGAUGUAGCAUUUUGAAUCUCUUUCUGGCCCAUCCUCUGCUUCACACCAGAAUCAUUGUGACCUGUAGACCUGCAAAACAAAGGACCAAAGUUAGGUCUGGGGAAAAGCAGCAGCAAAAAUGAGUUCUUACUUCUGGGCACAAAAUGAAAGUAACAGACCUGAUUUACUCUGCGGGCAGCCAGCUGACUACCUUGUUGAAGAGAAACAUUUCACAACGCUUGUAUGCUUCAUUGUUGUUUUGGGAGGUGCACCAAAUUGUCUACCCUCUUCUAAGAACAUCAAGUUUUUCACUUUAUUCUUACUUUUCACCUUUAAUUAUAUUUAUGGUUGCUUUGGAUGUAGAAUUUUAUACACUCAAGAAAAUGUUUUGGCAGGUUGAUAAUUUCUGCUUCUUUUUAAAAACUAGUUUAGUCCAUUAGUAUUUAUUGUAAUUAAAAAUAGAUUUAGAAGAGAAAAGAUUUGAACAGAUUUGGGACACCAAGGAAGAUAUAUGGAUGGAAUAAAAGCACUUGGAAAGACGCUCAACAUCCUAAGUCAUUAGAGAAAUACACACUAAAACCACAAUGAGAUACCACUGUGUACCUAUUGGAAUAGCAACAACAAACCUGUUAAUGCCAAGUGCUGGUGAAGAUAUGAAGACAAUGAAACUUGCAUACAUUGUUGGUGAGAAUGCAAAAUGGUACAACCACUUUGGGAAACAGUUUGGGAGUUUCUUAUAAAGUUAAAUAUAUACUUGCCACAUGACUCACCAAUCUCACUCCUGUGUAUUUACCCAAGAGACAUGAAAACUUAUGUUUACAAAACCUUUAUAUGAAUCUGUAUAGCAGCUUUAUUUAUAAUCUCAAAUGUCUGGAAACAAACAUUCUUCCAUUGGUGAAUGAAUAAACAAAUCGUGGAACAUCUUUCAAUGAAAUAUUACUCAGCAAUAAAAAAGGAAUGGAGUAUCGAUAGGCACAACAAGGAAGAAUUUAAAAUGCAUUGUGCUAAGAGAAAUAAGCCAGCCUCCAAGGGGUACAUACAAAUUAUAAAAUUACAUUCAUAGACCUUCUAAAAAUGGCAAAACUGUAGGUCUGGAGAACAUCAUUGGUUGCUAGGGAAUGGUGUUGGGGAAAAGAAUUGACCACAAAGAUAUAGCAUGAGGAAAUUUUUGGGAGUGAUGUAUCUGUUUUGUUUCUUAGUUGUGGUGUGAUUACAUAACUGUAUGCAUUUAUCAAAACUCAUAUAACUGUACACCAAAAGAGUAGAUUUUACUGUUUAUAAAUUGAAAAUAAAGUUUUUAAAAGAAA
rnacentral:lncRNA from 1 species